UACAGAGGUCUCAACCGUUGUUCGGAUUCAUUGGGCGUAAAGGGUGCGUAGGCGGUCGCGCAAGUCGGAUGUGAAAUCUCAGGGCUCAACCCUGAAACUGCAUUCGAUACUGCGUGGCUGGAGUGCUGGAGAGGAGACUGGAAUUUACGGUGUAGCAGUGAAAUGCGUAGAUAUCGUAAGGAAGACCAGUGGCGAAGGCGAGUCUCUGGACAGCAACUGACGCUGAGGCACGAAGGCCAGGGGAGCAAACGGG
rnacentral:rRNA from 1 species